rnacentral:SRP_RNA from 1 species
GCCGGGCGAGGUGGCGGGCGCCUGUAAUCCCAGCUACUCGGAGGCUGAGGCAGGAGAAUGGCGUAAACCCGGGAGGCGGAGCUUGCAGUGACCUGAGAUCCGGCCACAGCACUCCAAAAAAAAAAAAAGAGCGAGACUCUGUCUCAAAAAAAAAAAAAAAAAGCUGGAACCCAGAGCUUUUUUUUUUUUUUUUUUUAAGAUGGAGUUUUGCGUUUCGCUCUUUCUGCCCAGGCUGGAGUGCAGUGGUGUGAUCUCGGCUCACUGCAACCUCUGCCUCCUGGGUUCAAAUGAUUCUCCUGCCUCAG